rnacentral:sRNA from 1 species
CAGGAUGAGGGCGGCCAUUGCUGGGGCUCUGCUUCGGGGAGGAGGACGCUGAGGAGGCGCCGAGCCGCGCAGCGCUGCGGGGGAGGCGCCCGCGCCGACGCGGGGCCCAUGGCCAGGACCACCAGCCAGCUGUUCUACGGUCUGGGGACGAUGGUUUAAGAAUUUAUGCGUUGUAUGCGAUGUGCAGUGGGUGAUGGAAGAACGUCUACAUAGCUUGCAAAAUUUGAUUUAAAAGGCAAAUAUUUUAAAUGAAGGAAAACCCAAGAAGUUUACUUGAUUCCUUAUCUUCCAGGAUGCGACUUUUAUUUAUUUAUUUUGAUGGAGUCUCGCUCCCGUCGCGCAGGCUGGAGUGCAGUGACGUGAUCUCGACCCGGGAACCUCCACCUCCCGGGUUCAAGCGAUUCUCCUGCCACAGCCUCCCGAGUAGCUGGGAUUACAGGCGUGUGCCACCAUGCGUGGCUAAUUUUUGUAUUUUUAGUAGAGAAGGUGAAAGGUGUGGGCCCUCUUCUGAGAAAAAGGCAGAGUGACAUUGAAUUUUGUAACUAC